rnacentral:sRNA from 1 species
UCUUUCCUCAGUUCUCACUAACAAGAAAGCACUCCUUUUGUUUUCAGCUCUGGAGCACAGACUUUAACACUAAGCAAGAUUGUGCCACAUAUAUGCAACUUACUUGGAGAUCCAAACAGCCAGGUUCGAGAUGCAGCAAUAAACAGCUUAGUGGAAAUUUACAGACAUGUAGGAGAACGUGUGAGGGCAGAUCUCAGUAAAAAAGGAUUGCCACAGUCCCGGUUGAAUGUAAUUUUUACAAAAUUUGAUGAAGUCCAGAAAUCUGGAAACAUGAUACAAUCUGCAAAUGAUAAAAAUUUCGACGAUGAAGAUUCUGUGGAUGGUAACAGACCUUCCUCUGCUAGUUCUACAUCAUCCAAGGCUCCACCAAGUUCUCGGAGAAACGUUGGAAUGGGAACCACCCGCCGGCUUGGUUCAUCCACCCUUGGAUCCAAGUCUUCAGCUGCAAAAGAAGGAGCUGGUGCUGUUGAUGAAGAGGAUUUUAUUAAAGCAUUUGAUGAUGUACCUGUAGUACAG